GUCAAAAUUUCAAAACGUUGGCAGAUGAUAUUAGCAAUUUAAAGCACUUGCAUUAUCUGGAUCUUUCUGAGACUUCAAUUGAAAAAUUGCCAAAUUCAAUAUGCUUGCUAAUUAAUUUAAAAAACAUUGAAAUUAAGGGAUUGUCGUUGCUUGGUUGAGUUUCCGUCAAAUUUUUACAAGCUCAUCAACUUGUGUCAUCUUGACUUGGAUGGUUGUUAUUUCAUAGAAAGAUGCCAAAACAUAUGGGAAAGUUAAAUCAUCUCCGGACAAUGAAUUAUUUUGUUGUGGCAAAGAAAGGAAGGUCAGGUUUGAAGGAAUUAGGUACCUUGAACCAUUUAAUGGGUUCACUGACCAUCUCACAUAUGGCAUGCAUAAACAAUCCCAUGGAUUUGAGAGAUGCCAAUUUAAAAGAAAAGCAUUUGGAUAAAUUAUGUCUAAAUUAUAAGUUGUAUGACUAUAGUCGUGAAGCAGGACCACAUCAAGAAGACACAUUACAAGGGCUUGAGCCAAAUAAUAGUUUAAAAGAGAUCAUUGUUGAACAUUACGGAGGUACCAAAUUUCCAUCCUGGUUGGGUGGUUCACACUUUUUGCCCAAUUUAGUGUCUUUAUCUUUGACACGUUGUGCCAACUGUGUGAACUUACCGCCUCUUGGGCAGCUACCUUCUCUGGAGAAACUUGAGAUUACCGAAUUGCAUGGAAUAAAGGUGAUAGGGGAAGAGUUUUAUGGGAAUGGCUCCUCCAAUGCUCCAUUUCGUUGCCUUUCAUACUUAAGUUUUAAAGAGAUGAGAGAAUGGGAAGAAUGGAACAUUUGUCGGGAAGAUGAGAGUUUCCCAUGCCUUCAAGAGCUUCAUAUAUGGUGGUGCCCAAGUCUGACAAAGUCUCUACCUCCACACCUUCCUUGUCUAAAAAAGUUAGACAUCCGCUGGUGUAGAAAUUUGGAGACAGCACUUCCCAAAUCCUCUUGCAUGGAAGUUAUAGAGUUAAAGGAGUGUAAGAAGAUCACAAUAAAAGAUGUGCCUACAUGGAGGGUUAAUACGGCGACGUCAAGGAGGCAGGGGGGUAUAUAAGUUGAAAGAAAUUUCAUUUAGUGAUCAUGACUUUGAAGAUGGGGAGUCCUUCCCUGAGGAGGGCUUGCCGCCGUCCAACCUCUAAUCUCUUUUUUUUCUCAGGUUGUCACAACUUGAGAAGAUUAAAUUGCAGGGGUCUUCUCCACCUCCAAUAUUCCGUUGCUUCCUUAUCUUUUCAAGACUGUCCAAGCAUGAGUUUUGAAGGCAUGCUAGAAAAUGGUUUCCCUCCGUCCCUUUCUCAUUUUAUCUAUUGAAGAUUGUUCAUUGUUGGAGGAGAGGUGUGAAAAUCAGACAGUACCAGAUUGGCCUAAAAUUGCUCAUAUCCCUCAUGUCUCCAUACGCAGAGCUUGACUCUCAUUUUGCUCAAAGACAUUCCUAAAGCUACAGUCUCAAGUUUCCUGGAGCAAAACAACAUCAUUUAUUAAUACUUCGUAUUCUGGAAAAGCAUCAGACCAACAAAAAAAAACAAAAAAGGGAAUUUCUGGCUUCAAUUUUCAGAUUAAAAGAAGAGGCGCUGCUCAAUUGAAGUAUUCAAACCAGCAUGAAUGGCUCAUAUAGAUAGUACUUCUGCAGAAAUUAAAUUAAUCUUCCAGUUGAUUUUACGUGUUCUCUAGAUUUGGUGGGUGAUGGAGUAAGAUAAGUUUAUUGUUGGUGUUACAUUGCUGUAUUUCUUUCGAUCUAUUUUGUAGCUGAUUGGUUUUUUUCCCCUGUUUUUCUUUCAGCGAAACGUUUUUUGAUUUAGUAGCAAGACUUUGUGAUUCAAUGUUGCCUUGUAACGUGUCAUCACUCCAUUUCAAGUGAUUCAUUGUCUUAAGAGUUUAUUUCUAUGAUCGUAAUUGGA